rnacentral:rRNA from 1 species
GACAGAGGUGCCGAGCGUUAGGCGGAAUCACUGGGCUUAAAGCGUGUGUAGGCGGGUCCGUAAGUACCUUGUGAAAUCCCACGGCUCAACCGUGGAACUGCUCGGUAUACUGCGGGUCUUGAGCCAACUAGGGGCGACCGGAACAAACGGUGGAGCGGUGAAAUGCGUAGAUAUCGUUUGGAACGCCGAUGGUGAAAACAGGUCGCUGGGGUUGUGCUGACGCUGAGACACGAAAGCCAGGGGAGCGAACGGG